ACAUCCGCUCAUGGAUCCUACCUGCCGGAUCUUCUUUUCAUUGAUGUUGUUGUUAUGACUGAUGAAGCCGAGCUGUUGAUUACCUGGCUUCUGUAAAGGCACGGUUACUGUACUGGUGUUAGCUUAUGCUUGUACAAUAAAGCUUAUAAAAGGCA